AUCUGGGCGGCGGAAUUCAGGAUGACGAGCGUGCUCUCGGGUACGCUGGUCGUUUGAUAUUUCCGUCGCCGAUCGAGACGUUGCGACCUGUUCGCGGCCGGUCCCUGCUCGGAGGAGCUGCGUUCGAGUUCGUUGCGUGCGCGUUUCGGCGUGUCACGCGGUGAAGGCGCGGAUCUCUGGCUGGCCGUCGGACAGUAUGCUCAACGGUGUCCGGUGUCGUCGUCUCGUACGCGCGCGCACCGGUACCGGUCAGCGACGAAUUCUUCGGGCCUCUUUCCGACCCGUCUUGAAACACGGACCAAGGAGUCUAACAUGCGCGCGAGUCGCGGGGUGUCGAGCGUACUUCGGUGCGUUCGUUACGUUGCGAAACCCGUACAUGUCGAAGGCGUAAUGAAAGUGAAUGGGGAAGAUGGUGUUCCGAGUUCACGUUCCGCGAUCGCUGGUAUCGCGGCCGGACACCCGCAUUCCCGGGGCGUCUCAACGGCCCGUCGCUGAUGCGGACUGUCGUCUCUCGGGGCGGCUGUCGGUCGGCGAUGAACCGA
rnacentral:rRNA from 1 species